rnacentral:rRNA from 1 species
UCCUACGGGAGGCAGCAGUGGGGAAUAUUGGACAAUGGGGGCAACCCUGAUCCAGCCAUGCCGCGUGUGUGAAGAAGGCCCUCGGGUUGUAAAGCACUUUCAGCGAGGAAGAACGCCUAGCGGUUGAUACCCGCUAGGAAAGACAUCACUCGCAGAAGAAGCACCGGCUAACUCCGUGCCAGCAGCCGCGGUAAUACGGAGGGUGCAAGCGUUAAUCGGAAUUACUGGGCGUAAAGCGCGCGUAGGUGGCUUGAUAAGCCGGUUGUGAAAGCCCCGGGCUCAACCUGGGAACGGCAUCCGGAGCUGUCAAGCUAGAGUGCAGGAGAGGAAGGUAGAAUUCCCGGUGUAGCGGUGAAAUGCGUAGAAAUCGGGAGGAAUACCAGUGGCGAAGGCGGCCUUCUGGACUGACACUGACACUGAGGUGCGAAAGCGUGGGUAGCAAACAGGAUUAGAUACCCUGGUAGUCCACGCCGUAAUCGAUGUCGACCAGCCGUUGGGUGCCUAGCGCACUUUGUGGCGAAGUUAACGCGAUAAGUCGACCGCCUGGGGAGUACGGCCGCAAGGUUAAAACUCAAAUGAAUUGACGG